rnacentral:lncRNA from 1 species
GGCGCGGCCGGCGUAGCUGCUCCCCUCGUCUCCGGCAAGCCUAGUCGGCGGCGCUGCCGCCGGCGGGGGGAGGCGCUCCGCCUGGCGGUCGGAGGGCGAGGGGGGGAAAUUAGAGCAGACGAUGACCCGGGAAAGGGAGGGGAGGCGGAGGAGGAGAAAGAAGAGGGCGUGGAAGGCGAGGAGGAGGCAGCCGCGGAGGAGGGCGAGGAGGUGGGAGGAGCGGCUCUUCUCGAUGGCGGCGCCGCCGGGGGAGGUGGCGGGCAGGUGGCGAGAGGAGAGGAGGUACAGGUAGAGCCUGGAGAGGGAGGCCAUGGACGGCAGGUACUCCAUGGCGGCGCCGCCGCUGGCGGGGGAAAAAAAUUCCCC